rnacentral:rRNA from 1 species
UCCUACGGGGCGCAGCAGUGGGGAAUAUUGCGCAAUGGGGGAAACCCUGACGCAGCAACGCCGCGUGAGUGAAGAAGGCCUUCGGGUUGUAAAGCUCUUUAAUCAGGGACGAAGAAUGACGGUACCUGAAGAAUAAGCUCCGGCUAACUACGUGCCAGCAGCCGCGGUAAUACGUAUGGAGCAAGCGUUAUCCGGAUUUACUGGGCGUAAAGGGAGCGUAGGCGGCCUGCCAAGUCUGAUGUGAAAUACCGGGGCUCAACCCCGGGGCUGCAUUGGAAACUGGCAGGCUGGAGUGCCGGAGAGGC